rnacentral:rRNA from 1 species
GAUGAACGCUAGCGGGAGGCUUAACACAUGCAAGUCGAGGGGCAGCAUAGGGUAGCAAUACUCUGAUGGCGACCGGCAAACGGGUGAGUAACGCGUAUGCAACCUACCCUGUACAGGGGGAUAACCCGGAGAAAUUCGGACUAAUAUCCCGUAAUAAUAUCCGGAGGCAUCUUUGGAUAUUUAAAGUUCCGACGGUACGGGAUGGGCAUGCGUAACAUUAACUGGUUGGUAAGGUAACGGCUUACCAAGGCUAUGAUGUUUAGGGGUCCUGAGAGGGUGGUCCCCCACACUGGUACUGAGACACGGACCAGACUCCUACGGGAGGCAGCAGUGAGGAAUAUUGGUCAAUGGGCGCAAGCCUGAACCAGCCAUCCCGCGUGCAGGAAGACGGCCCUAUGGGUUGUAAACUGCUUUUCCAGGGAGAGAAACUUACGCACGUGUUGCGUGACUGACGGUACCCUGGGAAUAAGCAUCGGCUAACUCCGUGCCAGCAGCCGCGGUAAACACGGGAGUA